rnacentral:rRNA from 1 species
ACUCCUACGGGAGGCAGCAGUGGGAAUAUUGCACAAUGGGCGAAAGCCUGAUGCAGCGACGCCGCGUGAGGGACGACUGCCUUCGGGUUGUAAACCUCUUUCAGUAGGGAACAAGGCAUCAUUUUGUGGUGUUGAGGGUACUUGCAGAAGAAGCACCGGCUAACUACGUGCCAGCAGCCGCGGUAAUACGUAGGGUGCAAGCGUUAUCCGGAAUUAUUGGGUUUAAAGGGUCCGUAGGUGGACGAUUAAGUCAGAGGUGAAAUCUUGCAGCUCAACUGUAAAAUUGCCUUUGAUACUGGUUGUCUUGAGUUAUUAUGAAGUGGUUAGAAUAUGUAGUGUAGCGGUGAAAUGCAUAGAUAUUACAUAGAAUACCAAUUGCGAAGGCAGAUCACUAAUAAUAUACUGACACUGAUGGACGAAAGCGUGGGUAGCGAACAGGAUUAGAU